rnacentral:miRNA from 1 species
UCGCGGCAGAAGAAAUCCUGAU